CGUACCUUUCAGUGGGGGAUAACGUAGCGAAAGUUACGCUAAUACCGCAUAUUCCGUGAGCAGGAAAGCAGGGGAUCGCAAGACCUUGCGCUGAUUGAGCGGCCGAUAUCAGAUUAGCUAGUUGGUGAGGUAAAGGCUCACCAAGGCGACGAUCUGUAGCGGGUCUGAGAGGAUGAUCCGCCACACUGGAACUGAGACACGGUCCAGACUCCUACGGGAGGCAGCAGUGGGGAAUUUUGGACAAUGGGGGCAACCCUGAUCCAGCCAUGCCGCGUGAGUGAAGAAGGCCUUCGGGUUGUAAAGCUCUUUCGGCCGGGAAGAAAUCGCAUGGGUUAAUACCCUGUGCGGAUGACGGUACCGGCAUAAGAAGCACCGGCUAACUACGUGCCAGCAGCCGCGGUAAUACGUAGGGUGCGAGCGUUAAUCGGAAUUACUGGGCGUAAAGCGUGCGCAGGCGGUUUUUUAAGACAGGCGUGAAAUCCCCGGGCUCAACCUGGGAACUGCGCUUGUGACUGGAAGGCUAGAGUAUGGCAGAGGGGGGUGGAAUUCCACGUGUAGCAGUGAAAUGCGUAGAGAUGUGGAGGAACACCAAUGGCGAAGGCAGCCCCCUGGGCCAAUACUGACGCUCAUGCACGAAAGCAUGGGUAGCAAACAGGAUUAGAUACCCUGGUAGUCCACGCCCUAAACGAUGUCAACUAGGUGUUGGGUGGGUAAAACCAUUUAGUACCGGAGCUAACGCGUGAAGUUGACCGCCUGGGGAGUACGGCCGCAAGGUUAAAACUCAAAGGAAUUGACGGGGACCCGCACAAGCGGUGGAUGAUGUGGAUUAAUUCGAUGCAACGCGAAAAACCUUACCUACCCUUGACAUGUCCAGGAGCCUGAAGAGAUUUGGGUGUGCCCGAAAGGGAACUGGAACACAGGUGCUGCAUGGCUGUCGUCAGCUCGUGUCGUGAGAUGUUGGGUUAAGUCCCGCAACGAGCGCAACCCUUGUCGUUAAUUGCCAUCAUUUAGUUGGGCACUUUAACGAGACCGCCGGUGACAAACCGGAGGAAGGUGGGGAUGACGUCAAGUCCUCAUGGCCCUUAUGGGUAGGGCUUCACACGUCAUACAAUGGUCGGUACAAAGGGUUGCCAAGCCGCGUGGUGGAGCCAAUCCCAGAAAGCCGAUCGUAGUCCGGAUCGCAGGCUGCGACUCGCCUGCGUGAAGUCGGAAUCGCUAGUAAUCGUGGAUCAGCAUGUCACGGUGAAUACGUUCCCGGGUCUUGUACACACCGCCCGUCACACCAUGGGAGCGGGUUCCGCCAGAAGUAGGUAGCCUAACCGCAAGGAGGGCGCUUACCACGGCGGGGUUCGUGACUGGGGUGAAGUCGUAACAAGGUA
rnacentral:rRNA from 1 species